UGGUGGGUAGUUUGACUGGGGCGGUCUCCUCCUAAAGAGUAACGGAGGAGCACGAAGGUUGGCUAAUCCUGGUCGGACAUCAGGAGGUUAGUGCAAUGGCAUAAGCCAGCUUGACUGCGAGCGUGACGGCGCGAGCAGGUGCGAAAGCAGGUCAUAGUGAUCCGGUGGUUCUGAAUGGAAGGGCCAUCGCUCAACGGAUAAAAGGUACUCCGGGGAUAACAGGCUGAUACCGCCCAAGAGUUCAUAUCGACGGCGGUGUUUGGCACCUCGAUGUCGGCUCAUCACAUCCUGGGGCUGAAGUAGGUCCCAAGGGUAUGGCUGUUCGCCAUUUAAAGUGGUACGCGAGCUGGGUUUAGAACGUCGUGAGACAGUUCGGUCCCUAUCUGCCGUGGGCGCUGGAGAACUGAGGGGGGCUGCUCCUAGUACGAGAGGACCGGAGUGGACGCAUCACUGGUGUUCGGGUUGUCAUGCCAAUGGCACUGCCCGGUAGCUAAAUGCGGAAGAGAUAAGUGCUGAAAGCAUCUAAGCACGAAACUUGCCCCGAGAUGAGUUCUCCCUGAGACUUUAGGUCUCCUGAAGGAACGUUGAAGACGACGACGUUGAUAGGCCGGGUGUGUAAGCGCAGCGAUGCGUUGAGC
rnacentral:rRNA from 1 species